rnacentral:rRNA from 1 species
UACGAAGGGGGCUAGCGUUGCUCGGAAUCACUGGGCGUAAAGCGCACGUAGGCGGAUUGCUAAGUCAGGGGUGAAAUCCUGGAGCUCAACUCCAGAACUGCCUUUGAUACUGGCGAUCUCGAGUCCGGGAGAGGUGAGUGGAACUGCGAGUGUAGGUGAAAUUCGUAGAUAUUCGCAAGAACACCAGUGGCGAAGGCGGCUCACUGGCCCGGUACUGACGCUGAGGUGCGAAAGCGUGGGGAGCAAACAGG